rnacentral:rRNA from 1 species
AACGAACGCUGGCGGCGCGCCGAACACAUGCAAGUCGAACCAGAAGGCGUAGCAAUACGCUUGUAGAGUGGCGAACGGGUGAGUAAUACGUGGGUGACCUACCCUCGAGUGGGGAAUAACCCGCCGAAAGGCGGGCUAAUGCCGCGUACGCUUCCGUCCUCACGGGGACGGAAGGAAAGCUGUACCGUGGGGUACGGCGCUCAAGGAUGGGCUCACGUCCUAUCAGCUUGUUGGUAGGGUAACGGCCACCAAGGCUACGACGGGUAGCUGGUCUGAGAGGACGAUCAGCCACACUGGCACUGCGACACGGGCCAGACUCCUACGGGAGGCAGCAGUGAGGAAUAUUGCGCAAUGGGCGAAAGCCUGACGCAGCGACGCCGCGU